rnacentral:lncRNA from 1 species
AAACUGCAACCACAACAACAACAAUCCUUCAUCAAAACUGCAACCACAACAACAUCAACAUCUUCAUCAAAUCGAACUUGCAACCACAACCAUCUCCGUGAACGAAAACCUAAUUUCAAUUCUUACAUCUUCUUCCUAUUCCGCCAAUUCCAAAAUCGACUCAUCUUUCCAAGCGCAACACCAACUUAGGCCACUCAAAUUCGUGAAUCUUUCUCUCACAAUCUGUCUUCCUC